AACGAACGCUGGCGGCAGGCUUAACACAUGCAAGUCGAACGCCCCGCACGGGGAGUGGCAGACGGGUGAGUAACGCGUGGGAAUCUACCCAGAUCUACGGAACAACAGUUGGAAACGACUGCUAAUACCGUAUACGCCACUCGGGGGAAAGAUUUAUCGGGUUUGGAUGAGCCCGCGCUGGAUUAGCUAGUUGGGGGGGUAAUGGCCUACCAAGUCGACGAUCCAGAGCUGGUCUGAGAGGAUGAUCAGCCACACUGGGACUGAGACACGGCCAAGACUCCUACGGGAGGCAGCAUUGGGGAAUAUUGGACAAUGGGCGCAAGCCUGAUCCAGCCAUGCCGCGUGAGUGAUGAAGGCCUUAGGGUUGUAAAGCUCUUUCACCGAUGAAGAUAAUGACGGUAGUCGGAGAAGAAGCCCCGGCUAACUUCGUGCCAGCCGCCGCAGUAA
rnacentral:rRNA from 1 species